UGGCUUAAUGCUGCUGAGUGGACA
rnacentral:siRNA from 1 species